ACAAGCCUGAGAAACGGCUAGUAGGAUAAGGUCUGCAGCAGGCGCGAAACUUACACAAUGCUAGAUUACAAUUAGCGAUGUAGUGAAGAAAAAUAACGAUGUACUUCCUUUUAAACAAGGUAGUACAAUUGGAAUGAGACGACUAUAAACCAGUUAGUCGAGUAACAAAUGGAGGGCAAGUCUGGUGCCAGCAGCCGCGGUAAUUCCAGCUCCAUUAGCAUACAUUAAAGUUGUUGCGGUUAAAAAGCUCGUAGUUGAAUUUUAGGCGGGCUCUAUUGGGAUGCAAUCGUUAAGGUCCACUAGCUUCGGUUAGCUGGAUUGGUUGUCAUCGCCCUAUAGGAACCCGCUGUUUCGUCACUUAAUCGAGUGCGAAGCGGGCUGGUACAAGUUAAAACUUCGUUUUAUCUGUUUCAGCAUGUUUACCUUGAGAAAAUUAGAGUGCUCACAGCAGGCAGUUGGGGUGUAAAAGCUCCUUUAUGCUUGAAUAAUGUUGCAUGGAAUAAUAGAAUACGGCCUCGGUUCUAUUCUGUUGGUCUUAUAGAACAACAAACAAGUUGGUUAAAGCGAUCAAAAGUCUCUUUGCGGGUGUGGUUCAUCUGGUCGCUUUAUAGUUGCUGGCUCUACUAGUCACCGGUUGUGUUACCUGGGGCCUUAAAAUCUCAGCGUCGCACUGGCCUAUGUAAGCCUUCUUUACUAUUUAGCAAACCUAAUGUUCCAUUUAAAGCAUCCCUAAGCUGGCUAGCUUUCUAAUCAACUGAGGCAAUGGUUAAAAGAAAUAGUCGCGGCGGCAUCAGUACUGCAUCGUGAGAG
rnacentral:rRNA from 1 species